AAAUGAUAACUGUCUUUUAAUAAUACAUUGUGAUGUAACCUAGUUUUAAUUGUGGGACUUCUCACUUCUGAUUUUUAAGAACCUGUCCAAUAGAGAACACAUAGCAGCAACAUCAAACAACAGAGAUCAACCUGUGAGGGCUCGAAAACUGGGGGCGCUGUGGCUGUGUUCAUGUAUUUCCAUCGAGGGGGUAUGAUUGUCAUGCUAAUGUAUAAGAAAUAAUGUAUAUUAAUUAAACUGUAUUUCCCCACAUUAAUAAAGUUGCCUGUUACAAAUUUAACACUGUAAAUAAAUCAGCUUAUAAAAUGUUAUGAAAUAUAAAACCAUUCUGUAGAGGCAAGAAUAGACACUUGUAAUUUAUGUUACUGAAAUUCUUUAAUAAAAUAGCCACACCUUGAAGAAUGCCAGUUAGAUAGUAAUUGGUAUACAAUUAAGGACUCUCUGCGGGGACAAACUCUCAAAAAGAAUGAAUAACCUGUAUCAGGGAACAAUAAUUGGAGUUCUCUGUACUCCACUGCUUCAGUCUAAUGCUGGCAAGAGAGACCUCUUUGGCCCACUGCUGGCACUCAGGGCUGAAGAGGUGGCUGAGGCUUCUGAAAAAGGAAGAUGAUUAGAAUGUUUGUGCAAGUCUCUGGUGGCUUUUGAAUACCUCACUCAUGUUUGACUCAUCAGUGCAUUUUUGUCACACCAAUUAUAAAUUUAGUGGUUUAGUCAUGAUGAAAAGACAGGUGCAACAUUAUCUUUUGGAAGAAAGAACAAGGAGACCCGUAUGAUUUCAAUCUUGGAUGAAAAUCACCAGUUGCCAAAAUAAACAAAGUGUUUUCAAACCUGGUUCUCACCUCCUCUCAUAUGCAAUUCCUUUAAAAAUCGUGUUUUAUAUUUCUGUUAUCUACUAUCUCUGAACUGAUACUGAUAUAAAAUAGUUUUUGAUUCCGUUGGUGUCUACACAACAGUCCCAACUAAUUUGAAAUAGAAAGUCAUAUAGCAUAAAAUAUUAUUGCUUUCAUGUCUUACUAAGAAUAACUAUCAUAGUAUCCUCUCCCUGCCUGGUGUUGGUAGUUUGUUCUCAGAAGCUUGUGUGAGGACCACUGAUAGGAAGAUGUCUUCAGGAAAUGCUAAAAUUGGGCACCCUGCCCCCGACUUCAAAGCCACAGCCGUUAUGUCAGACGGUCAGUUUAAAGACAUCAGCCUGUCUGACUACAAAGGAAAUAUGUUGUAUUCUUUUACCUGCUUGACUUCACUUUUGUGUGCCCCACAGAGAUCAUUGCUUUCAGUGGUACAGAAGAAUUUAAGAAACUCAACUGCCAAGUGAUUGAUGCUUCUGUGGAUUCUCACUUCUGUCACCUGGCAUGGAUCAACACACCUAAGAAACAAGGAGGGCUGGACCUGUGAACAUUCCUUUGGCAUCAGACCCAAAGCACACCAUUGCUCAGGAUUAUGGGAUCUUAAACGCUGAUGAAGGCAUCUCAUUCAGGGGCCUCUUUAUCGUUGAUGAUACGGGUAUUCUUCAGCAGGUCACUGUAGUGACCUCCCUGUUGACUGCUCUGUGGAUGAAACUUUGAGACUAGUUCAGGCCUUCCAGUUCACUGACAAACAAGGGGAAGUGUGCCCAGCUGGCUGGAAACCUGGCAGUGAUACUAUCAAGUCUGAUGUCCAAAAGAGCAAAAAAUAUUUCUCCAAGCAGAAGUGAGUGCUGGGCUGUUUUAGUGCCAGGCUGCAGUGGGAACCCCUGAGAACAAAAUCUCCUUUGUAUUUUUUUUUUCCAUGAGUAAAAUACAAGACUUCAGAUUCAGCCGAAUUGUGGUGUGUUACAAGGUAGGCCUUUCCUACAGGGGGUGGAGAGACCAGCCUUUCUUCCUUUGGAAGUGAUGGCCUGAAUUGUGUUGUGGGGAGGCCACUGAUUGUAUGAUGUGUCAGUAGAGAGCAUCAACCCAUUGAUCUUUUGUGGUUUGUUUUAAACUUGAACUGAGAAAAAAAUAAAAGAAUAUCAUAAUGUAUUUUCUUAUUUUAAUUUAUUUUAUCAGCUAUUUAAAUAACAAAAGUAAUACAUGCUGUUGUCAAAGCAAAAAAAAUCAAAACAGGUAUACUCAAAAAAUGGUAAAUGGACUGUACUCUUACUCCCUCCAAUCUGAUUUCUCCAGUAUACUCAGUGCUUGUAACUUGUUUUAAACUCUUCUGUCUUUAUUCCAACAAA